rnacentral:rRNA from 1 species
UACCUGGUUGAUCCUGCCAGUAGUCAUAUGCUUGUCUCAAAGAUUAAGCCAUGCAUGUCUAAGUUUAAGCGAUUUAAACAGCGAGACUGCGGACGGCUCAUUAUAUCAGUUAUAGUUUAUUUGAUGGUCGAUUGCUACAAGGAUAACCGUAGUAAUUCUAGAGCUAAUACUUGCACUUCAAAACAGUUCUCUGUUUGCACUUAUUAGAUUCCCCACCAAUGCCUUUUAGGCUUCGGUGAAUCAUAGUAAUUCAGCGGAUCCACAGCCUUCGGGCGUGACGCUUCAUUCAAAUUUCUGCCCUAUCAGCUUUCGAAGGUAGUGUAUUGGACUACCUUGGCUUUGACGGGUAACGGAGAAUUAGGGUUCGAUUCCGGAGAGGGAGCCUGAGAAACGGCUACCACAUCUAAGGAAGGCAGCAGGCGCGCAAAUUACCCAAUCCUAACACUAGGGAGGUAGUGACAAGAAAUAACAACAGCUAACUUAAUACAAGUGAGUUGAUUGGAAUGAGUACAAUCUAAACACCUUAACGAACUCCAUUGGGAGGGCAAGUCUGGUGCCAGCAGCCGCGGUAAUUCCAGCUCCAAUAGC